GGUUUACACUUGAUCUCUGAACUUCAGGUAAGUUUGCAUGUUUGACAAGUUUACAUGCUGAUGCU
rfam:Eucalyptus grandis cultivar BRASTZ1 unplaced genomic scaffold scaffold_6, whole genome shotgun sequence.